rnacentral:misc_RNA from 1 species
CAUCCUUCUCUCUCUCUCUCCUCGCGCAUCUCGCCCGCGCCGAAAUGCGGCCGCAUCUCCUCCGCCUCCUCUCGCUCCUCCUCCUCGUCGCCGCCUGCCUCCCGCCUCCGGCCGCGUGCCGGCACAUCCACCCGCCGCCGCGGCAGCAGCAGCAACACGGCGGCACGAACGUGCUCACCGUGGCGCUGGCCGCCGCCGCGUCGAUCCUCGUGCUGCUCCUGCUCUACCUCUGCGCGGCCAUCGCGGUGCGCCGGUUCCGCUCGCGCGGCGCGGUGGCGCGGGAGCCGGCGGCGGCGUCGCGCGCCGCGGCGUUCCUCCGCCUGCACGGGCUCCACCACCACCGCCCGUCCUUCACCUACGAGCAGCUGCGCGCCGCCACCGCGGGCUUCGACGCGGCGCGGAAGCUCGGGGACGGCGGCUUCGGGACGGUGUUCCUCGCGUACCUCCCGCCCUCCGCCCGCCCCGCCGCCGUCAAGCGCCUGCACGUCCCGCCGUCCCCGUCCCCGUCCCCGUCGUUCCCCUCUGCCUCCGCCACCAUCACCAAGUCCUUCUGCAACGAGGUGCUCAUCCUCUCCGCGCUCCGCCACCCGCACCUCGUCCGCCUCCACGGCUUCUGCGCGGACCCGCGCGCGCUGCUCCUCGUCUACGACUUCGUCCCCAACGGCACGCUCUCGCAGCACCUCCACCGCCGCCGUGCCGGCCCUGGCGUCGCGGGCGUGCCGCUGCCCCCGCCGCUCCCCUGGCGGACCCGCGUCGCGAUGGCCGCCCAGAUCGCGUCGGCGCUCGAGUACCUCCACUUCGGCGUCAAGCCCGCCGUCGUGCACCGCGACGUCACCUCCUCCAACAUCUUCGUGGAGGCCGACAUGCGGGCGCGCCUCGGCGACUUCGGCCUCUCCCGCCUCCUGGCGCCGCCGGACGCCUGCGCCACGGGGGGCGCCCGCGACCUCGUGUGCUGCACCGCGCCGCAGGGGACGCCGGGGUACCUGGACCCGGACUACCACCGCUCGUUCCAGCUCACGGAGAAGAGCGACGUGUACAGCUUCGGCGUCGUGGUGCUGGAGCUCGUCACGGGGCUGAGGCCCGUGGACGUGGGCAGGGAGCGGCGGGACGUCACGCUGGCGGACUGGGUGGUGGCCAAGAUCCAGGUCGGCGAGCUCAGGGAGGUCGUCGACGCGCCGGUGCUGGGCGAGGGCCCCGCCGUGAUGGCCAGCGUCGAGGCAGUGGCGGAGCUGGCGUUCCGGUGCGUGGCGCCCGACAAGGACGACCGGCCCGACGCCCGGGAGGUGGUGGCCGAGCUCGCGAGGAUCCAGACGAUGCUCCCCGAGCUUCCCGGCCGGAUCGCACAGAAUUGAGCUAACCACAUCCUGACAACUUGGCUUCUAUGCUGCUAUCUUGACUAAGGAUUAGCAUCACAUCCUGAAGGAACACUCCAAGGAAGGCAGACCAAUGUGGAGCUCACAUCUUCCCGUGCUGGUUCUGUGACAUGAAUCUGUAUGUAUGAGCAUUGGCCAGAUCUGUUAGUUGUGUUACCGGUCAGCACUACACUCGUCAGGUUAUGUGUAGUCUUGUUCUGCUGGAAACUGGAAUGUACAAGCUCUCCCCCCAAAAGUAAUUUUGUCCGAUCCAUUUUCCUGGGUUCCUCAGCCAAUUCUCGCACUCAGC